UACGGGGGGGGCAAGCGUUGUUCGGAAUUACUGGGCGUAAAGGGCUCGUAGGCGGCCAACUAAGUCAGACGUGAAAUCCCUCGGCUUAACCGGGGAACUGCGUCUGAUACUGGAUGGCUUGAGGUUGGGAGAGGGAUGCGGAAUUCCAGGUGUAGCGGUGAAAUGCGUAGAUAUCUGGAGGAACAUCAGUGGCGAAGGCGACACCCUGGACUCAUACUGACACUGAGGUGCGAAAGGCGUGGGGAGCAAACAGG
rnacentral:rRNA from 1 species